AGCGAAUCCAUAUUGGCAUGGAAGAUCUAAGGAUUCAAAGGAAACGAGCCAUUCGUUGUUAAUUAGAAGAAUUUAAAAGUCAUCUGCCUAAUCGGACAACGCGCUUCCGCAAUUUUUCCAUGCAAUUUGUUUUUCGGAACCAACAUCAUGCACACGAAACAUUAAGUGAGAUAUACAAAUUUAUACUACGGA